AAACAAAUCGCCCGCGUCCCCGUCCCCCACCUUCAUCGUCCGGAAAAAAAACCGCAAACAGGAAAAUACUAAACCGCUUCCCACGACUCCAGGCUGCCUCCCCAAUUCGUCUCGCGACCAACCUCCACGCCGCCUCCGCGCAUAUCCGUGAUGCGGCCCUCUUGUGCGAUUCUUCCCUCCACCCCUCGUCGCUCCCCACAAUCGAAACCAUUCCUCGAUCGAGAGAGCCGUGGCGGCGCGGGAGGUGCUAGACUGCUGGAGCACGGGGAAGGGGAGGGAAGGAGGCAGCAGCAGCAGAUGCCGGUGCCGGGCAGCCAGAACGGGCGGCCGAGGCCGUCCAAGGCCGAGACCAUCCAUGGCCUCGUGCGCGCCGGCGACCUCGCGGGCGUCCAGCGGAAGCUGCGGGAGAACCCCGCCCUCCUCAACGACAAGAGACCACGGCAUAACCCCAAUCCACGGAUGACCUGAAUUGAAUACACAAGAGUCAGACCUAAGAAACGAGAUCGAACACAUCGGAGACCUGAAUUGAAUCCACAUCGGAGACCUGAAUUGAAUCCUCGCAUGAUCUGCUCGUUUUCUGCCAGCAUUAUAAGCCCGUUUUCUGACUCCAUUGGUCGCUAACUUGAUCUCUAAAGCAGGUUGCCAUAACCUCGAGUCUGGGUGAGAUCCGCCGGCCACAGCUGAGGACGCGUGAAGAUAGAGGCGAUGUGCUGCAGAUUGGUGGCCACGUUCUGGAGCCGGAGGGGAACGGACACGCUCAGGCGACCGGGGGAAGAAGGCGGCGUCGGGGAUGGGGCUUGCUGGCCCGGCGGCGCGGGCUGCCACUUGAGAGGAAGUCAGGAAUUCAUGAAGCUCCCCCUCUCCUAUGAUCCGCACCCGGCGCCCUACCCGUCGUUGUACGAGUUCAACCAGAUGCUCUCGGUCCCCUCUGUCCACAGGGCUGGCGCCCCCGGUCCUCUGCUCCGCACCCAGAUCGAACGCCACUCGGCCACACAACAAAUUGCAGGUGUUGUUGAGGUGCUGCAGUUGUGUUGUUAAACGUUUGUGAGUAAAACGCUCAUAAGAAGACGUAUGAAUCGAAAACAGAACAGGAAUUCGUCAUAAAUGUCAUAUGUUUAAGAAUUUUUGCCCGACUAAGAAUCCUUCCUAGAAUGAAAAGAGGACAUUGGUGCACUCAACAACAAACUGAGUAACUAGGAAAAUAAGGAUCUUGAUGUCUCGAUCCCAAGAACAAUGACUGAUAAAGUUCUUGAUAGCAAGAAGAACAUUGUGCAAGGUCCGAUGAUAAGGUACACUGAAAUUAACUUCACCGUACUAACAUGAGGAUUUUGGACAUUAGCAGCCAUCAAUGAAUUUAAUGAUAUUUGCCCAGCUAUGAAAUUUUUGUAGGAAGUAACAUAAAGGGAGGCAUACAGGAAGCAUUUGCUAUGGCGUAGGUAAAGCAUAUAAGGCUCAACACCUGUAUCCCCCGUUUCUCUUUCUUCUUUUCUUGCAGUUGAUUGAUGGUGAUGGCUUUACAGACUCUAUAUAUCUGCUCCAUGAAUAUUUAUUGGCAUUUCCUUAGUUCUUUGAGGAGCCAUAUUGUUAUUAAGGUCUGAAACACCAAUUGUAUAUUUAUGGGCAUUUACAAGGUCUUUAAAUUCUUGACAGUCUACCAAAAUUAUAUCUGCUUAAGGUGCUGACCGAAUAACCUUUCCAUCCUGACAUUAACCAAUAAAUUCUUAAUCCAACAGCUAAAGACUUGUGCGAAAAUCUUUUAUCUACUUCUAUGGAACUGCAAAUUGUUCAUCCGGACUGAACCGAAUCCAGUGGCAAAGAUAUACUGCAGAGCAGGUCUAAUCAACGGAGACUACUUCCAGUUGAUUGAGGAAAAUGAGGUGGUCUUUUUCAUUUGUCUUUGUUAGUAGUGAAUUGAAUAUAAAGCUACACUUAUAUAAACUGAAAUCCAAUUCGUUUGUAUUCUAACUUAUCUCUACUAUAUUAAAAAAAAUGGCUAGAGGUGGUGGGAUGGUUGGUACGUCCGUAGCAAUCCCGCCGUGUUAUCUCCGGCCAUCCAACUGCAGGCCGCGACCUGCAGUGACGUCGAGACCCUCCUCACGGCUGGGUAUUCGUUCCAUCCAACAGCUGUAUAGGUUGCCACAAUUGGUCGUUCGACUACAGCUUCAUCGCACACUACCUCUCCUCCUCGAACCUUAAUUGACUAUGCUUUCUGCUCUUCCUCUUUUACAGGUAGUAUUGAUUCUGGUUCCAGUCAAUUGCUUCAGGAGAACCUUGGAGUCGUGUGCGAUAUAUUGGCUUCGGGAGUUCUUUAACUAUCAAUUUCCGAUGGCUGUCAGCCAGAUGAGUUCCCUUGUACUUCCAGACCUCAUCUCUCUAUUCUUAAGUACCCAUGUCCUAAUGUAUGUGUACGCAGGUUUGCUUAGAUUAUUUAUAUAUACGGAUGGUGCCAUGAUACUGUUAGGUAUGGAUGUUGUUGUAUGCGGCAGGUUACUGAGAGAAGGCCAACUGAGAGUGUGAAAUAGAUGUUUCCAUGUUCAUGUUCUUCCGCAGUUCAUUUUUCUAACUUUUACAUACUUUGCUGAUACAUUCAGUGAGUGAGAUAGACGUGCUAUUUAUGUGUAAGAAUGAUGCCAUGAUUCAUUUUGGUUGCUGUAUGCGACAGGUUACCGAGAGGAAGCCAUUUGUUUGUGCUAAAAUACAUAUUUGGGUUGCAAAUUUGUGUUAAAAAUACAUUAUUUUCCAUGUUUAGGAAAUUUGAGUGAGACUCUUCGGAAAUUUGAGCUUGCAUUUACCGAGGUGCAUCUGAGUAGGAGAAUAUUGCAAUAAAUUCACUUGCAGCUAUGUCAAUGACCUGUACAUAACUUGCCUUUUAUAUCCUAGACGUUAUGGUUAGUAGUAAUGUAGAUUAUUUUCUGCUAUUAAAUAAAUGGGAUUUUCUGGUUUAGAAUUUUCCUUCAGCAUUCAUUAUGGUCACAAUAUAUUCGUUACUUUGGCAACAUUCAAGUUUUCAAGUGCAAUAAUUUUGGCUUAGAAUUUCCCUGACAUUUAUGUGAACUGAAUUUUCCUUAAGCAGUUUGUUAGGCAAUUAGAUGCACUAUCAAUCAAUUGAAAGUGCUCCCUGUACAGAGAGGUCCUUGAAUGAGGAGUAUCAAAGAUCAUUUUGGCGCUUUAAGUGUAAGACUUGCUAUUGGUUAGCGCAAUAGGAAGCUAGCAAAAUGGUGAUAUGUACACUAUCAAUUCUUAAAUUACAAACAGGUGAGUUUGUUUUGGGUCAACAAUUGCAAUAUCAUAUUCACUAAUAUUUUUUUACUAAUAAAGUGUUGUUUACUGGGCGCUAUGCCUGGCUACAGGUUAGGGACAUGUCGUUUUUGAAUCACUCUUAGUUACCACUGGAUUUACCCUUUUUUUUCCUUGGAAGUGUGUUAUUAUAUGAUUUCAUUAUUUCCUUGGCAAAUCGCAGCCUCUUAUUUGUAUCCUUCAGUUCAUCUGUUAGAGAGAAACAUAAUUCAAUGGUCUUGCAUUUUUUGAGAAGAUUAAGUGAUGGAAGAGUCGACUGAUAGAGAGAUAAAGUGAGACGGUACGUACAUUGUGUUAUUAUGCUCAGGAUAAAGUCUUCUCAACAUAUCUUUCUUGUGUUCAAUGUUAUUGCAGAAUGGCCGAUCAAGGAGAGCGACAACAUAUCAGAGAGAUAGAGCUGUAGUUAAAGACGAUCGACACGGAGUGCCUAAUGUUGGUGGAAGACUAUACCUAGAGUUGUAGUCAAAGACGAUGGACACGGAGUGCCUAAUGUUGGUGGAAGACUAUACCUUAUCAUCCCAGGUGUAGCCGUGUGGGCAUAAGAGAAAUGAGUGACCCAAAUGAGAGGAACGAGAGUCGGACAAAGUUUUUUGCCGUAUGUGUUGAGACACACGUUUACAUGAAAUAUUAUAGUUUGAUCAGAAUCCAA